rnacentral:rRNA from 1 species
GACGAACGCUGGCGGCGGGCUUAACACAUGCAAGUCGAACGGAAAGUCCCUUCUUUUGUGGGGUUCUCGAGUGGCGACCGUGUUCGUAACCCUUUAGUCACCUGCCCUUCACUUUCGUUUAACUUCCGGAAACUUCGCCUACUCCCUGAUCGUAUCUCCUCCUGCAUGGUGGGUCUUGUAAAUUUUCGGCUGUUGGGGAUGUACUCUCUGCUUAUCAUCUUCUUUGUGGGGUAGUGGCUUACCCAGGCUUUGACGGGUAGCCGGCCUGAGAGGGUGACCGGCAACAUGGGGACUGAGAGACGGCACAGACGCAGAAGGGAGGCAGCAGUGGGGAAUAUGGCCCAAUGGGGGGAAGUCUGAUCAAGAAACGAAGCGUGUGGGAUGACGGCCUUUGGGGUGUAAAACGCUUUCGGAUGUGACGAAGCGUGAGUGACGGUAAUGGGUAAAGAAGAACCGGCUAACUAAGUG